CUGCUCACUUCGGCAGCACGAAUACUAAGAUUGGAAUGGCACAGAGAAGAUGAGCAUGACCCCUGCGCAAGGAUGACACGCAGAUUCAUAAAGCAUUCCAUAUUCAA
ensembl:snRNA U6 U6 spliceosomal RNA